UUUUUGGUGCUGAUCACAUACUUGCAGCACACACACCCUUCAUUGCCACACUACGAUUCCUCAGAAUGGGACUGGUUGAGAGGAGCUUUGGCAACAGUUGACAGAGAUUACGGCAUCCUGAACAAGGUUUUCCAUAACAUCACAGACACUCAUGUUGCUCACCAUUUGUUCUCAACCAUGCCACAUUACCAUGCAAUGGAGGCCACCAAAGCUAUCAAGCCGAUUUUGGGCGAUUACUAUCAGUUGGACAGGACGCCGGUUUUCAAGGCAAUGUUCAGGGAGGCAAAGGAGUGUAUUUAUGUUGAGCGAGAUGAGG
rnacentral:lncRNA from 1 species